rnacentral:rRNA from 1 species
UACGUAGGGUGCAAGCGUUACUCGGAAUUACUGGGCGUAAAGCGUGCGCAGGCGGCUUUGCAAGUCAGAUGUGAAAUCCCCGGGCUCAACCUGGGAACUGCAUUUGUGACUGCAAGGCUAGAGUACGGUAGAGGGGGAUGGAAUUCCGCGUGUAGCAGUGAAAUGCGUAGAUAUGCGGAGGAACACCGAUGGCGAAGGCAAUCCCCUGGACCUGUACUGACGCUCAUGCACGAAAGCGUGGGGAGCAAACAGG